rnacentral:rRNA from 1 species
AGUGAACGCUGGCGGUAGGCCUAACACAUGCAAGUCGAACGGCAGCACAGUAAGAGCUUGCUCUUACGGGUGGCGAGUGGCGGACGGGUGAGGAAUACAUCGGAAUCUACUUUUUCGUGGGGGAUAACGUAGGGAAACUUACGCUAAUACCGCAUACGACCUACGGGUGAAAGCAGGGGAUCUUCGGAACUUGCGCGAUUGAAUGAGCCGAUGUCGGAUUAGCUAGUUGGCGGGGUAAAGGCCCACCAAGGCGACGAUCCGUAGCUGGUCUGAGAGGAUGAUCAUCCACACUGGAACUGAGACACGGUCCAGACUCCGACGGGAGGCAGCAGUGGGGAAUAUUGGACAAUGGGCGCAAGCCUGAUCCAGCCAUACCGCGUGGGUGAAGAAGGCCUUCGGGUUGUAAAGCCCUUUUGUUGGGAAAGAAAAGCAGCAGGUUAAUACCCCGCUGUUCUGACGGUACCCAAAGAAUAAGCACCGGCUAACUUCGUG